UUCUUGCUGCUUGAACCUUUUUAUGUGAUGAGAAAAUGGCCAGUGUCGGCCUCUGUGCCGGUAUGACUUCUUGGACCUUGGAGAUGUAGAGGAGAAUGUUCACCGUGCUCAGGCCUGCAAAACAAUGAGACACUUCAUUGUGGACCCAGAACUGGCAAAAGUAGUAGCACAGCACCUAGGACCCGAGGAUGCUAAAACUGUUAUCUUUGAAUGUAACCCAGGUCCUGGGGUGUUGACUAGGACACUGCUUAAUGCUGGCGCUCAGAGAGUUGUGGCUCUUGAAGGGGACAGGCCCUUCCUUAACGAUCUACAGGUAAAACAAACA